rnacentral:rRNA from 1 species
GAUGAACGCUGGCGGCGUGCCUAAUACAUGCAAGUCGAGCGAACGGACGAGAAGCUUGCUUCUCUGAUGUUAGCGGCGGACGGGUGAGUAACACGUGGAUAACCUACCUAUAAGACUGGGAUAACUUCGGGAAACCGGAGCUUAUACCGGAUAAUCUUUUGAACCGCAUGGUUCAAAAGUGAAAGACGGUCUUGCUGUCACUUAUAGAUGGAUCCGCGCUGCAUUAGCUAGUUGGUAAGGUAACGGCUUACCAAGGCAACGAUGCAUAGCCGACCUGAGAGGGUGAUCGCCCACACUGGAACUGAGACACGGUCCAGACUCCUACGGGAGGCAGCAGUAGGGAAUCUUCCGCAGUGGGCGAAAGCCUGACGGAGCAACGCCGCGUGAGUGAUGAAGGUCUUCGGAUCGUAAAACUCUGUUAUUAGGGAAGAACAUAUGUGUAAGUAACUGUGCACAUCUUGACGGUACCUAAUCAGAAAGCCACGGCUAACUACGUG